rnacentral:rRNA from 1 species
UGGAGAAUCUUUCGCAAUGGGCGAAAGCCUGACGAAGCGACGCCGUGUGAGUAAGAAGGCCUUCGGGUUGUAAAGUUCUUUCACCUGGGAACAAGGGCUAUAUAUUAAUAGUAUAUAGACUUGACGGUACUAGGUAAAGAAGCACCGGCUAACUCCGUGCCAGCAGCUGCGGUAAUACGGAGGGUGCAAGCGUUAAUCGGAAUUAUUGGGCGUAAAGGGCGCGUAGGUGGUAUAUCAAGUCGUAUGUGAAAUUCCUGGGCUCAACCUUGGAACUGCAUGUGAAACUGAUCUUCUAGAGGUAAGGCGAAGAAAACGGAAUUUCCCGUGUAGCGGUGAAAUGCGUAGAUAUGGGAAGGAACACCGGUGGCGAAGGCGGUUUUCUGGCUUUAACCUGACACUGAGGCGCGAAAGCGAGGGGAGCAAACAGGAUUAGAUACCCUGGUAGUCCUCGCCGUAAACGAUGCCUACUUGAUGUGACUUGGCUCGUCCCUAUUCUGGUCGAAGCUAACGCAUUAAGUAUGCGCCCGGGGAAGUACGCUCGCAAGGGUG